AGUGAACGCUGGCGGUAGGCCUAACACAUGCAAGUCGAACGGCAGCACAGGAGAGCUUGCUCUCUGGGUGGCGAGUGGCGGACGGGUGAGGAAUACAUCGGAAUCUGCCCAGUCGUGGGGGAUAACGUAGGGAAACUUACGCUAAUACCGCAUACGACCUUCGGGUGAAAGAGGGGGAUCGCAAGACCUCUCGCGAUUGGAUGAGCCGAUGUCGGAUUAGCUAGUUGGCGGGGUAAUGGCCCACCAAGGCGACGAUCCGUAGCUGGUCUGAGAGGAUGAUCAGCCACACUGGAACUGAGACACGGUCCAGACUCCUACGGGAGGCAGCAGUGGGGAAUAUUGGACAAUGGACGCAAGCCUGAUCCAGCCAUACCGCGUGGGUGAAGAAGGCCUUCGGGUUGUAAAGCCCUUUUGUUGGGAAAGAAAUCUUUCAGGCUAAUACCCUGGGAGGAUGACGGUACCCAAAGAAUAAGCACCGGCUAACUUCGUG
rnacentral:rRNA from 1 species